UCAUUUAUAGCACUGAGCGUGUCACAUGGGCAGCAUGUGGGCCAAGAAAGGGAGAGUCCAGGAAAGGUGAGAUUAGCAGACGGUCGGGAAAGUCACUUGAUGUGAAGAGAGAGACUGGGGUAGACCAGAUGGCUGCAUCAGCACUGUCUGGGGACACGCCGCAGGUUGCACUUUGGAAGAGUUGAUUUGAGCAGAAUUUCUUCUUGAGAAGAAUUGAAAAGCAUUUUCAAGUGCUUUAUCUCAUUCGGAUCCUCGCGACAGCCCUGUGAAUGUGAGGAGGGCAAGUAUUUCCCAGGAGCUGCAGAUCUGACAGGACAGGAGGGAAGAGGCUGCAGGAACAAGUCUCAUCAGGAUGCAGGGGGCCCUUCCCAGACGCUGCCGGCAUCCUGGACCCGAUGCUGCCUCCCUGCUCACAUAAUGAUUCGAGUCCAAGUUUAAGAAGAGACUCACUCAGAUGCUUUCUGCUCCAUCUCCUAACUUUGUUGGCUGAGUAAGAGCUGUACUGGAGUAGGAGAAACAGAGGGGGAAGGAGAUCACAAGAUAGGGCUGGAGACCCUGCUGUUGCGUAGACGCAACUGCUCACAAAUUUCAUGGGAUAGAAAAAUAUGGGAUUGGGACUGUUUUCUGCAUUGUUUUCCCCUCUGUUUGCCAUCACAGGCUUUCAGACCACUCAGUUCACUAGUCUUGUCUUUGAUGUUCAGCACAGUUCUUAUAAGUCUCCCCUAAGUGGAGGGUUGGGUAGGUAGAGGAAAAGAUGAAAUAAAUGCUUACAAGGGCAACAUAAGAGUCAUUAUUUAUGUUAGCUAGAGGAGCAUAGAAAAAUAUACCCUUAUCCACUUGAGAAGUAUUUUUAAGCACCUGCUCUGUGACAGGUAGGGUCCUAAGUUCUUAGAAGAUGUCAAUGAAUAAAACAGAGAACCCUGCCAUGAGGCACUUACAUUGUCACAGGGAGAGCAGGCAACAAAUGAUGAAUAUAGUAAGAUUGUAAUAUAAUAAAUAAUAAGUGUAAUACAGUAAGGUAAUAAAUAUAAUAAAAUGAGCCAAUAUCACAGGAUGUUGAAGGUGAUAAAUGUACUGGAAAGAAGGAAAGAGAACAUGGGUGGAGGGUGAAGAACUUGUCUGGAGGAGGACAGAGGUCAGCCCCACUUAGAGCAUGACCUUUAUGAAAAGGCUUGCAAGAGGUGAAGGACUUAGUCGUUGGAGCAUCUGGGGAAGGGUGUUCAGGCAGAUAGAACCGUCACUGCAAAGGUCCUAAGGCAGGAGCAUUGGGCAUGGUCAAGGAAUAACAAGGAGGCCAGAGUGGCUGGAAACUGGAGGGAAGGGAGGAAGUGGG